rnacentral:rRNA from 1 species
CCUACGGGAGGCUGCAGUGGGGGAUAUUGGACAAUGGGCGCAAGCCUGACCCAGCAACGCCGCGUGAAUGAAGGAGGGUUUCGGGGUGUAAACUUCUUUUCUCAGGGACGAAGAAGGUCACGGUACCUGAAGAAUAAGCCACGGCUAACUACGUGCCAGCAGCCGCGGUAAUACGUAGGUGGCAAGCGUUAUCCGGAUUUAUUGGGUGUAAAGGGCGUGUAGGCGGGAGCGCAAGUCAGAUGUGAAAACUCAGGGCUCAACCCUGAGCCUGCAUUUGAAACUGUGUUUCUUGAGUGCUGGAGAGGCAAUCGGAAUUCCGUGUGUAGCGGUGAAAUGCGUAGAUAUAAGGAGGAACACCAGUGGCGAAGGCGGAUUGCUGGACAGUAACUGACGUUGAGGCGCGAAAGCGUGGGGAGCAAACAGGAUUAGAUACCCUUGUAGUC